CCCCUAGAUGUUCUGGGCCGCACGCGCGCUACACUGAACAGUUCAACAAGUCUUAACCUUGGCCGAUAGGUCUGGGUAAUCUUUGAACGCUGUUCGUGAUUGGGAUAGACCUUUGCAAUUAUGGGUCUUCAACGAGGAAUUCCUAGUAAACGCAAGUCAUCAGCUUGCAUUGAUUACGUCCCUGCCCUUUGUACACACCGCCCGUCGCACCUACCGAUUGAAUGGUCCGGUGAAAUCUCGGGACGGCGGCUUGGUCGCUUGCGUCCGACUGCUGAAACUUGAUUAAACCUUAUCAUUUAGAGGAAGGUGAAGUCGUAACA
rnacentral:rRNA from 1 species